CGUCAAAUCAUCAUGCCCCUUAUGACCUGGGCUACACACGUGCUACAAUGGACGGUACGAACGGUUGCCAACCCGCGAGGGGGAGCUAAUCCGAUAAAACCGUUCUCAGUUCGGAUUGUAGGCUGCAACUCGAGUGCAUGAAGGCGGAAUCGCUAGUAAUCGCAGAUCAGCAUGCUGCGGUGAAUACGUUCCCGGGCCUU
rnacentral:rRNA from 1 species